AUUGAACGCUGGCGGCAGGCCUAACGCAUGCAAGUCGAGCGGAUGAAGGGAGCUUGCUCCUGGAUUCAGCGGCGGACGGGUGAGUAAUGCCUAGGAAUCUGCCCGGUAGUGGGGGAUAACGUCCGGAAACGGGCGCUAAUACCGCAUACGUCCUGAGGGAGAAAGUGGGGGAUCUUCGGACCUCACGCUAUCAGAUGAGCCUAGGUCGGAUUAGCUAGUUGGUGGGGUAAAGGCCUACCAAGGCGACGAUCCGUAACUGGUCUGAGAGGAUGAUCAGUCACACUGGAACUGAGACACGGUCCAGACUCCUACGGGAGGCAGCAGUGGGGAAUAUUGGACAAUGGGCGAAAGCCUGAUCCAGCCAUGCCGCGUGUGUGAAGAAGGUCUUCGGAUUGUAAAGCACUUUAAGUUGGGAGGAAGGGCAGUAAGUUAAUACCUUGCUGUUUUGACGUUACCAACAGAAUAAGCACCGGCUAACUUCGUG
rnacentral:rRNA from 1 species